AACAACAAGCUUUCUGUCAGGAAAAUUGGACUUUUGGAGAUUAUAAAGAAGAUAAAUCCUAAUGCCUACCAAUUAAAGCUUCCUAGUCACAACCGCGCUACAUAUGUAUUCAAUGUCAAGCAUCUUAUUCCUUGCAAAGGUGAUCAUGAUGAAGAUGUUGUUGUUGACAAUUCAAAUUUGAAGGUGAAUUCUCUCCAUUCUGGGGGAAUGAUGCAAAUUAGGAAUCCAUAUUAUAUUAGAAUAUGUUUCCUUAUUAACAAAGGUUUAAGACUUUUAUUUUCCUUUCUAGUUUAGAACUUUAUUUUCCUUUUCUUUAUGGUUAGGAUAUUUACUACUAGUAUAAAUAUCCUAACCAUAAAGAAAAGGAAAAUAAAGUUCUAAACUAGAAAGGAAAAUAAAGUUCAAUAAUAUUUCAGUUUUUGCAAAUCUCUAUGUGAGUUUUUUAGUUUAAUUAAUUCCCAGUAUUCUCGGAAUUAACGAGUCUUAGUCCCCUAAAUUUGUGGUAUUAUUUUGAAUCAAUGUGAAAUUAGUUUGUUCUUUAUUCUAGUAUUCUCUAGAAUCAACAUAAUAUUUUGAACAUGAAACUUCCGUUGCAUCAUGGAGUCUACUUAUUGGGGAAAAUAAUUUAUUUUGGAGGGAUUUUAUAUGUUGUACUCCUUUUUCCCCACUAGGUUUUUAUCUCUAUAUCUCCAAAAUUAUUUGUUUCAAGACAUCAAUGAAUAAUGUACUCAUUUUCCUUUAUUAAUUUUUUUCCCAUAAGGGUUUUUUUUAGUAAAGGUUUUAAUGAAGCGUAUUCUUUUGUAAUGAACAUUCAAGGGGGAGUGUUUUAAAUUUAUUAAAAUAAAUGUGGAUGUUUAUAACAUACAUCUCUUAGUCUCCCUACUAUCUCCCACCAGCCACAUUUGGCUUCUCUAUAACUCCUACUAUCUCACAAAGAAUUAUGAUCUAUAAUAUUUCCAUUAAUUUCAUGGAGUGAUUAUGUAACAAUAAAAAAGAGCUAAUCUUUUUGUUUUGUAUACAUUUGGAAUGAGUAAAAUCACUUUAUAUUAUAUUGCUCUCUCAUUUUACUUUUUAUCUUGUGUUGCUGGCUAAUAGUUCUUCUAAUAAUAUCUAAAUAUUAAUGGCGUAUAAUACUAUAAAUACAUACAAAAAAAUUAUAAAAAGAUCAUCACAACUCAACACUUUAGUUUAAAUUCAUUUAAGAAAUAGUUAAUCCUUAUAGAACAAGUAACAAGAAUUAUUAAAUACAUGCUAGCUUUAUGUUACCGAUCUUUAUAUAAAAAACUAUGACUAUGAAUGAGCGCCUUCGAGUCAAAAAAUCUUAUUAAGAUAUAUCCAAAUUCAAUAAUUCUUGUUACUUGUUCUUUUCAAAAGGCUUUUAUUUUAUAUAAUAACAUUGACAUUAAUUGAUUAUUUUAUUAUUUCUUAAAUAAUCCAAGCAUGUAUGUGUAGCGGGCUUUUAUGUUCUUGGAAGUUUGUGAGCAAAAAUAUUAGUGAAUGUAACGUUGGAAGUUUGUGCUUACUCAAGAUUUUUUUUCUUUGAUAAGUACUGAAGAAGAUUAUGUAAAUUGGAAAUGGAAUAUGUUGUUGAUAGUAUGUAGUAAAUAUGAUUUUUAAAAAAUUUAUUUUAAUAAAAGUAAUAAAUAUAUUAUAGGUAUCAUGCCAGUGUGGGAUAAAAGGAUAAAUUUUAAUUUACAUCUACUUAGAAUGACAAUCUUUAAUUUACAUUUCAAAAGUUUGAAAACAUCAAUUUAUCUUUAUUUAUUAUUAAGAAGACAAAAAAUAAUUAUUUAUCAACGCACCCUAUUUGUCCUCAUCUUUUGAACGAAAAUAAGAGUAAAAUGAGGGUUUCGCACUUUUAGGGGCUAAACUAAAGAUUGUCACUUUAUCAGGGGAAUGGAUUGAAGUUUAUUAGAGAAAAAAUCAAGUUAACUUGCAAAUUAAACCUCAAUAAUUAGUGUUUUCUAAACGCUUUAGUAUCAUAACUUUUAAGUUACAACUACUCAACCACCAUACCAAAUAGGGUCUAAGUUGAUAUUAAUAUUUAAAGUUUUUUUAAGGGUACAACAUCAAACAAGAAAUCUUAAGUUGAUAUGAAUUUUUAAAUUUCUUGUGUUGUGCAUUUAUAAUUGUAUAAAGUUAAUUUAUAUAAUGUUGACUUAUGAAUGCUAGCUAUCUCAAAAUGUAUUAAGGUAGCAUUUACUACUUGAAUUAGAAUUGGAAUCCCAGGGAAUGAGAAUCAUGGGAUUGGGAGUGAGAAUAAGUUGUUUACUUACAUUGUAAUGGGUGUGGGAUAGGAAUCAAAAUCCCAUAUGUAUAUUUACUUUA
rnacentral:lncRNA from 1 species